UACGUAGGGUCCGAGCGUUGUCCGGAAUUACUGGGCGUAAAGAGCUCGUAGGUGGUUUGUCGCGUUGUUCGUGAAAACUCACAGCUCAACUGUGGGCGUGCGGGCGAUACGGGCAGACUAGAGUACUGCAGGGGAGACUGGAAAUUCCUGGUGUAGCGGUGGAAUGCGCAGAUAUCAGGAGGAGCACCGGUGGCGAAGGCGGGUCUCUGGGCAGUAACUGACGCUGAGGAGCGAAAGCGUGGGGAGCGAACAGG
rnacentral:rRNA from 1 species